UUCUCUAUAACUCCAAGCUCACAAAACAGAAAAAUUGUGCUUACAAAACAAAUUAAACAGAACUGUCCUUUUUUUUAAAAUCUAUUUAUAUAUAUACACUAAAGCUGAAUAGGUUCUGCCCCCCCCCCCCCCAAAAAAAAAAAAGCUGAAUAGUGGCAUGUUUGAGGCAAUUCCCGUAUGACAUAAAAAAUUGUUAUGCUUUCAUCGAAAAGUGGAAUGUGACUCCCAUGUAUGUAUUGAGUAAACAUGAUAAAAGUUUGAUGGAUAAUAUUGAUAUUUGGAGCUUUACAUCUAAUAAUGUAUUGGUUAAACAUCAAAUUUGAUGGUUAACACUAAUAAAUACUGAAAUUUGGACAUGUAAAAACAAAGUCAUUCAUUGAUCCCCAACUCACAGAAAGAGUAACCGAUUGCAAACCAAUGGCAAGCCGACUUCAAAAAUAACUCAUCAUCAUUCAUCCAAGGCAACUUAAAUACAAAAAGAGUAACAACAUUGCCCCAAUUUACAGAAAAUAUAUAUAUUCAAAAAUCAAACUUUCAAAACACCCAAAUAGCCUGCCGCCUUACCUGCUGUUGGAAACUGCUGCUACUGCGGAGUGGCCGGACGGAGGCGCCGAGGUCAAAGAAGGCAGGGCGGGGCGAUGGAGAAGGCUAGGCGAGGGCGGUGCAGUCCCGCACUGCUGCUUGCAGCGCUAGGAGGGAGGCUCUCCGAGGCGGCGAGUGGACAUGCGCGACCGGAGAAGGCGGGAAGCGGCGGUGACGGCGGUUUCACGCCGGACGACCGAGAGAAGGGAGAUAGAGAAAGUAAAUACCUUUUCUUGAAUGUGUCGCCAAACUCUGGAAUUGAAGAUGCAGACGACGGAGAAGGGGAAUUAGGGCUUAAGAAGAUAAAAGAAUUAUGGGUUUAAGCUUUUAAUUUUGUG
rnacentral:lncRNA from 1 species